CCUAAGUCACGUCCGAUUCUGACAAAUUGCGAACGGAAACUUUCACCGGAAGCCAUGCAAAUGCAUCGGAAAAAUCUCAAAAGGGUAGUGAGCCAUCGUGUCAGAACUACGUGAUAAACCAUCUACAUCAGAGUGUGCUGUAUCAUGUCGUCCUGUAAACUAGACACACACUGUCCCAGCUUAUUCAAGAUUCACUCAGUAGCCCUGCAGGAGAAAAGGAAAUUAGCGGCAAGGCAACUGAAAAUCUUGGAAACUUGGCGCGCAAAAGAAAAAGCAGCAAAGAACUCUUACUUCGGCGACUUGGGCGUCUUUGUGGUCUUCGUCGUUGA
rnacentral:lncRNA from 1 species